AUUUUUUUUAUCUUUCUUAAGUUGUUCCUUUAGCUUUAAAUCAGUACAUAGCUCAAUUGCUACGAAAUGAAUCAAACUGGUAAGUUCUUUAUAAGUCAUUUCUGAAUAUGGAAUUUUACCUUCACAUUGAUCUCUUAUUUUUUAUCGAACCUUUUCUGCAUAAUGGGGAGGUAAUCCACUAAGGAAUCUCUCUUUCCAAUAAUCAUUGUUGCAGUCAUCUCUAAGCAUGACCUUUGUAAUAAACAUAUCUUUAUACCAUCUGAAAUCUGUCAAUUUCUUGUAGUAAAGAUUGUUUAUUAUUUCCAAACAACAUUCUUGCUUGCAACAGCAUCAAGGAUCUUAUUCUUAUUUUGUUUUGUGAGAUAAUUGUCCCACUAAUUUCUUAGAGUACUUGUAAAUCCUGCAACUAUCCUGUUAGCUGCUUGCUUAUCAGUGGCACUCUUCCAUUAAUAGGCUGUGAUAUUCAUGCCCAUCUCUUGGAGUUUAUUAUACAUUUGACUAUCAGCCAUACCGUCUAUAUUCCAUUCUGUUAUCCCUGUACCAUAUGCAACACUCUGGGGAUACAUAUUGUUCUCUUCAAACUGGAUAUUAGGAAAAGAAGGUCCGGGAUAAAAGUUUUUGGAGUGAGGAAGUCUAUCUUUAAUAGCUCCGACCUUAUCACCCUGAGAAAUCUUAAUCCUUUUAAGUUGCUCACUAAUUCUGUCUAAGAUUUUUGGAGAGUUGUUGAAGUCAUUAGCUAGUUUAGAGAAAUCUUAUGGGGAAAAUUUAUGGAUUUUGAAGAUAGGAUUAGUCUCUAUGUUGAAACCUUAUUUGGAAAAACUGACUUUGUUACCAAUCUGACUGGUACCACUGUAAUUAUACUUUGAGUCCUCAAUUUGUUUGGAAACAAAAUGAAGAACCUGGUUAGUAUAAUUAUUUUGUUCAAAGACUUUGUUUAUUUCUUCAAUAGUCACAAAGUUGUUUUCUUUAUGCUCUGGAGGUUUUUGAAAGGCGGUGCUUUCAAAACAUCUUUUAUAUAUGGGAUGUUUAUACCUUCAAGAGGACGAGUAACACUUUUGACAACCUUGUCUUUGGUUUGCCAUCUGUUAACUAAAACCUGAAGCAAUGAAUUGGAUUCACCGAUUUGGCCUGUAGAUUCAAACCAUUUGAAGAAUUCAAUUUCUGUUUUGAAUCUCUUCAUAUCCUUAAACCAUUUGUCUUUGAACAGGACUGUCUAAUCCCUUGUGUAUGUAUCAACAUACAAAGCUUUCUUUUAAGCAUGCUCAGGGCUCAUCCACCACUUAUUAAUCAUUUUUGUGUCAGGAGUAAAUUUGUCGACUGACCUAAUAACUCCUAUAAAUUAUUUUUCUUAUGAGAAGGAAAUUUUAUUUCACUAGGAGUAGGACUUCCUGCAAAAGAAGAAUCAUAAUAAACCUUGGGGAUGGUUUGGGUGAAAUCUACCCCGCAGAAUUUACCCUGUUGUUCUGAAACCUCAAUGGUUUAAUAUAAAUAUUCUCCUCCCUCCCGGGCCCUUGAAGUAGAAGGUCUAGCCAUAGACAUUCUUCUACUAGAAGACUCAUGGCCGAAAGAAUUGGAUCCAAGAAACUUGAGUUUAACAGAUCCAUCUGUAAAUUGAAGAACACUUUCUACGGAAGACCUAGAAGGCUGAAAUAUAAGGGGUUCGGUGAUAGAUUCAAAUUUCCAACUUUCAUCGGAAAGAAUCUCAUUCCACUUUAACAUUCUGGGUAAAAAAGUUGGCAGGAAACUCGAUCCUCAUAGAUGAAACCGGGAUUGAUGGACCGUCUGUGAGUUGACGGACAACCCUACCGCCCAAUCCUGCACUCUGUCAUCUUUGUCAGAGACGGUGCAGGCGAGGGACUUCCUCUAAUUGUUUAAGUGUGAGAUGAUUGUGGCAUCGACACCUCGUCGAUCCACACACGGACCAUAGCCUAUGCCUCUGCACUCGGUCGAUGAGUUCAGAGGUUGUGCGGGGAAGGGACCUUCUCCAACAGCCUAAAUGUGGGACAACGGUGGCAUCGACGCCCCGUUGAUCCACAGAUGGGCCGUCUUCUAUCCAUAAAUGCAUACUGCCAGGCAAUGUUGCAUCAAUUUACAAGGGUCCUCCUCAAGGGACCUUGGUUGGUCCUUGGAGAGUCAUACCUGGAUGUUUCAACCAUGAAAACUCAAACACCUAUUAUCUACCUUACCACCAAUUUUUGUACAUUUAUAACUCCUAAACUGUAGUCAAAUAGGCUAAGUCACACUAACAUCCCUUUAAAACAACUUCCCAGAUGUCAUGGACGUUUUUGAAUGUUUUGGUUCUUAAACCUCCUAAAUGACGUGUAUCCAUUUCAAAUGGACUUAGAAAAAGGACUUAGACUUCAUGAAACCUAUGUUAUCCUUUGCAAUGUGUCUUAUUUUCAAGGUUUUAUAGAUAGGAAGCCCAAGACCAGCCACAGUCCUAGACCACAGACCAAUAGGACGGUCCAUAAGUCAAGGGACGGGCCAUCGACGAGUCUGUCUCUGCGCAGCUCACUGUAAGUUUAAGGGUUGAAGUCGUAAAUUCACCCAACAUCCAAAUAGGAUAACGGGCGAUUACUUAUAUAUCUUGUGGAUAUUUUAAAUAUGUUUAUAAGCCUUAAACACUUAGAAGAUUUCGUUUUUCAAAAUCAAAUCCCAAAUUCCCUUAGAAAUUCUCUAAACCUCCAUUGGAACCAAAACUCAACGAAGGGCUUGGAUUUGAGAAUUGAGUUGAGAUUUUUCAUCAAAUUGGAGGAUAAGAUUUAUUGAGGUGUAGGCAAAAGGUGAGAAGGAGCGUGAAGCAGUGCUUGGAUUCUAGAAUCAUUGAAGCAAAGUCAAAGUAUGUCCUCAAUUGACUAGAGGGCGCAUAUAGAUGUAUUUUAUGUGUUUUAUUUCAAAGUAUUGUAAUAGACUAUGUAUUUUUAUAAUUUGAAUUAUAGGCGUGUCCUAAAGUAUUCUCGUGUUAAAUCUUUGACGAGAUUGAGACAUAGGAUCUCUUAUGAUUUUAAUGAAAGUUGUUAUCAAA